AGGAACCUAAGGGAAAUAGAAACUGAGAA
rnacentral:piRNA from 1 species